rnacentral:lncRNA from 10 species
CCAGCUGCUAUAGCCUGCAGCAGCAGCUGCUGCAAGUGGGGGAGUUUGUCUUUGAGGCAUGUGAAAAUGCAUGGAAACUUUGCUGCUGGUGGCAGCAGGAUCUUUGCCAAUGGCUAGUGCUUUAGCUCUGGAGGCAGCAGCCAGCUGCAGCAGUGGCUGCAGGCCUGAUGUCUGGGAGCUCGUCUAAUUCUGCCACUUUAAGGGUCUACUCUGCAGUCCUCAAAGUUCAGAUGAUUCUUCCCCAAACCAUCAAAGACAGCCCUGGCUGUCUCUGAGUUCUUAUGCCCAUGAGGAUGACCUAUGAAUCCCAGAAAGAUACAGGUAGAUAAAUUUUCCAUUCUCCCCCAACCUUGCUCCCUUUCUAGAUUCCUUGGAGAUUAUCAGCAAUGGCAAAGGCACAAGAAAAUAUAUGUGAACUCUUGCUCCUCAGAAAUAUGUUGUGGCCAGUUUCCUGAUAGGACACACCAGUGGAUCCUAUAAUUCCAGCAGCCAGCUUGAGUCCCAUCUCCCCAGUGAAGUCUUUCAUGAACUACCCUGACCCCCAUUGCUUUCUUCUGCACCUGGCAGGAAGCUAGUAGCUAUAGAGCAGAAGAGUAUAAGGUUUGGGUGAGACAAAUGGGCUCCAACCCAAGAUCUACAACCUUUGAGCUGUGUAAACUUACCCUUUUAAGUAUCUGAUUCUUGCUAUAAAAUGGAUUAAUCAUAGUGCCUACUUCACAGAGUUGCUGUGAUUAUUGAGAAGAUGUAUAUAAAGUACUUAGCAUUGCAAGCAUUCAAUAAAGACUACUAUUUCUCUCUGGCAACCUCCCAUCAUCCUUUUCUGUUUCCAGAAUUGAGAAUCACCAGAGAACUCUGUUCCAGGAAUCAAGUGAUUAAAGUUACAGUUCCAGUGUCAUCACUAAAUAGCAAGGUGACCUUGGAUGCCUCAUUUUAUCAAAUCUCUCCAUUUUUCAACCUCUAAAAGUAGGAUAAUUUCACAGAUUUGUUAUAAGGAUGAAAAGAGAAAAUGGAUGGGAAAAGUUUGUGAAAGCCUUUGAGAUGUAGGACAAUAAAAAUGGGAAGAGAUCUGCUGGGAUGUUAUCUAGCCCAACCUUCCACCAGGGGCUCACUGAGACUCUGCAUGGAACUUUCACUAAUGGAAAAAUCACUCCCUCGCAGCAAGGUUUCAUUGUUGGCAGACACAAAAAGGACUUUCAAAAAUUAUUUUUAAAAUUUAAGAGAUAUUAUGUCUCUAGGAUGAUAUACAUGUUUCAAGUAGUAUUAAAAGCCACACUGAUGGAUAUGUAAUAAUA